rnacentral:rRNA from 1 species
GAUGAACGCUAGCGGCAGGCCUAAUACAUGCAAGUCGAACGGGAUCCAGAUCAAAGCUUGCUUUGGUCUGGUGAGAGUGGCGCACGGGUGCGUAACGCGUGAGCAACCUACCCUUGUCAGGGGGAUAGCCCGGCGAAAGUCGGAUUAAUACCGCAUGACAUCAUUGAGAGGCAUCUUUCGAUGAUCAAAGAUUUAUCGGACAAGGAUGGGCUCGCGUGACAUUAGCUAGUUGGUAAGGUAACGGCUUACCAAGGCUGCGAUGUCUAGGGGCUCUGAGAGGAGAAUCCCCCACACUGGUACUGAGACGCGGACCAGACUCCUACGGGAGGCAGCAGUAAGGAAUAUUGGUCAAUGGACGGAAGUCUGAACCAGCCAUGCCGCGUGCAGGAGGACGGCCCUAUGGGUUGUAAACUGCUUUUAUACGGGAACAAACGUCGGUACGUGUACCGGUCUGAGUGUACCGUAAGAAUAAGGAUCGGCUAACUCCGUG